rnacentral:lncRNA from 1 species
GGAGUAGAGGCUGUGGCCUGAACCCUGAGAAAGUGAGCAGGCUUGUGAGGGAGAGGGGCCUUCCCAGCAGAAGACGGUUCAGCAUCCCGACCUCAGCGUGGAGCAUGCACCAGAUGUUUGCAGAAGGAAUGGAUCUGCUGCCAGGCUCUGUGCCUUGGGGACCGGGCCUGCCUUGGCUGGGCUCUUGUAAAACAUUGGUCAUAUGGAGCUUUUCCAAGCCGGGAGCUGCUUCUUGCUGCUCUGGGGGUCCCUGCACUGAGCCCACCUUCUUGGUGUGGACCUAGAGGAGACUGUUGUGUGGUUUGGAAGACCAUGUUUCAGAUUUGUUGGAGGUCACAGUCUUCAAGGAAGGGGGCUUCUCCCUAAGGACAGAGGGGACCCGAGUGUCUUACAAAAGCCCCUUAACUUGGCACCUUCACAGAAGGGAUCAUGGGACGGGCCUGCCAGGAUCCAGGCCCACCACUCAGCUCAAGAAGCCACGUCUCUGGGUUUUCCAAGCCAGAAACUCCCCUGCAGAUUUCUGCCCCAUCCAAAUGUGUUUCUCAAGCAGAACAGGCUUCACGGAGCUAAGAGAAACACAAUGUGUCAGAGGAAUUGCUGGUUGAGAGCUCUGAGGAUGGGCCAUCUGUUCCCAGAGGUACCGCACUGCAUCUGCAGCAUCCAGCCUGGGAAAUCUACGAAGAGGCGAAAACUGUGGACCACAAAGUGCUUUCGAUUCUUGUGAAUUGGGUAUUUUUACCUACGUUGUGCAGAUAGGAAAUUGAGCUCAGAGAUGUUAAAUAUUUGAGUAAGCAUCUCAGGUGGGACCCAAACUCAGAGGUCUGUCUGCUCCGAAACCCACAAUUUGUCCUGACAGCAGUGUCUCAGCAGACUGGGUGAACAUACAUUGCUAUAUUCUUCUGUUGUGGGUUUUUUUUUUUAAUGGUGUGUGUGUGUAUUUAACUUUAACCUCUCUGGAAUGUUCUGUGGUAAAUGGUCUGAGUAAGGAUUUGCUAUUCACCUGUUAUUAUUACCCAUUUCCCAUAUAAACGUAGUGAUACUAUUUCUUUCAUCAUUUUAAAAUUUUUGCUCAACUUGUUAUAUAUUAAACUCAAAUAAAUAUGUUCACAUCUGCUCUACCAUAAAGUUUUGACAACUGCCACAUAUGUUUUACAGACUGGUAGUAUUUCCCUGGUUUUGCCUCAAAAUAAAAAAAUUU